rnacentral:rRNA from 1 species
CUUCCGAUCUGGCGGAUGCCUUGGCUCUCAGAGGCGAUGAAGGACGUGAUAAGCUGCGAUAAGCCACGGUUAGGUGCAAACAACCUCACCCGUGGAUUUCCGAAUGGGGCAACCCAAUAUCUUGAAGAGAUAUUAUCCUUUCGAGGAAGCUAACCCGGUGAACUGAAACAUCUAAGUAACCGGAGGAAGAGAAAACAAUAGUGAUUCCCCAAGUAGUGGCGAGCGAACGGGGAAUAGCCCAAACCAGUUUUGUUACGGCAAAACUGGGGUUGUAGGACUGUAAUGUGGACUAAAAUAUUUUAGUUGAAUGCUCUGGAAAGCGCAAUCAUAGAGGGUGAAAAUCCCGUAGACGAAAAAAUGUUUUUACCUAACAGUAUCCUGAGUAGCGCGGGACCGGUGAAAUCCUGUGUGAAUCUACCAGCACCAUCUGGUAAGGCUAAAUACUACUGAGAGACCGAUAGUGAACCAGUACCGUGAGGGAAAGGUGAAAAGUACCCUGAACAAGGGAGUGAAAUAGAACCUGAAACCGUACACUUACAAGCGGUGGGAGUCCUUCGGGAUGACCGCGUGCCUUUUGCAUAAUGAGCCUACGAGUUACUCCUCACUAGCAAGAUUAAGGACUUAAGGUCCGUAGUCGAAGCGAAAGCAAGUCUGAAUAGGGCGUGUAGUUAGUGGGGGUAGACGCGAAACCGGGUGAUCUACCCAUGGCCAGGUUGAAGCUUCGUUAAUCCGAAGUGGAGGACCGAACCCGUAUAUGUUGAAAAAUGUUGGGAUGAGCUGUGGGUAGGGGUGAAAGGCUAAUCAAACUCGGAAAUAGCUCGUACUCCCCGAAAUGUAUUUAGGUACAGCGUUGCGUUUAGUUAUAUAGAGGUAGAGCUACUGAUUGGGCUAGGGGGCUUCACCGCCUACCAAACCCUGACAAACUCCGAAUACUAUGACAUAUACCCGGGAGUGAGGGCAUGGGUGCUAAGGUCCAUGUCCGAGAGGGGAACAACCCAGACCAUCAGCUAAGGUCCCCAAAUAUUAGCUAAGUUGUUUAAACGUGGUGUGAUUGCUUUGACAGCUAGGAUGUUGGCUUGGAAGCAGCCAUUCAUUUAACGAGUGCGUAACAGCUCACUAGUCGAGCGAUCAUGCGUGGAUAAUACACGGGCAUAAGUUAAUUACCGAAGCUAUGGAUUUAUGGUAGGAGAGCAUUGUAACAGCUUUGAAGCUGUGCCGUAAGGCGCGGUGGAGCGGUUACAAAAGAAAAUGUAGGCAUAAGUAACGAUAAAAUAGGUGAGAAACCUAUUCGCCAAUAGACUAAGGUUUCCUGAACAACGCUAAUCGGUUCAGGGUUAGUCGGACCCUAAGGUGAAUCCGAAUGGAGUAACCGAUGGAAAACAGGUUAAUAUUCCUGUACUAGCAAUAAUGCGAUGUGGGGACGGAGAUGUGUAGCUGCUAAAAGCUGACGGAAAUGCUGAGACCUAGCCUUCGGGCGAAGUUGUAGUAGUGAAUCAUCUUCCAAGAAAAGCCACUAAGCUCCAGUUAUCUGCUAUCCGUACCGCAAACCGACACAGGUAGUCAAGUAGAGUAUACUAAGGCGCUCGAGUGAUUCGUGGUUAAGGAACUAGGCAAAAUCGUCUCGUAACUUCGGGAGAAGAGACGCUGACUUCGGUCAGCCGCAGUGAAUAGACCCAUGCGACUGUUUAUCAAAAACACAUGGCUUUGCUAAAUCGAAAGAUGAUGUAUAAGGCCUGACACCUGCCCGGUGCUGGAAGGUUAAGAGGAGGGGUUAGCUUCGGCGAAGCUCUGAAUUGAAGCCCCAGUAAACGGCGGCCGUAACGAUAACGGUCCUAAGGUAGCGAAAUUCCUUGUCGGGUAAGUUCCGACCUGCACGAA